AUUGAACGCUGGCGGCAGGCCUAACACAUGCAAGUCGAACGAGUGGCGGACGGGUGAGUAAUGUCUGGGAAACUGCCUGAUGGAGGGGGAUAACUACUGGAAACGGUAGCUAAUACCGCAUACCAUCGGAUGUGCCCAGAUGGGAUUAGCUAGUUGGUGGGGUAAAGGCGUACAAAGGCGACGAUCGCUAGCUGGUCUGAGAGGAUGACGAGCCACACUGGAACUGAGACACGGUCCAGACUCCUACGGGAGGCAGCAGUGGUGAAUAUUGCACAAUGGGCGCAAGCCUGAUGCAGCCAUGCCGCGUGUAUGAAGAAGGCCAUCGGGUUGUAAAGUACUUUCAGCGGGGAGGCGUUACCCGCAGAAGAAGCACCGGCUAACUCCGUGCCAGCAGCCGCGGUAAUUC
rnacentral:rRNA from 1 species